rnacentral:sRNA from 12 species
AAGCUAUGAUGUCAUAUUUCCGGGGCAAUUUCGGUAGUAUGACGGAGCUUUUGUUGAGGGUUAGGAGAUUUCCACAGAUUGCCUAGGGGUCUACCUCGUAGGAGACUACCGAAAGAAAAUCUCCAUCU